rnacentral:tRNA from 1 species
GCAUUGGUGGUUCAGUGGUAGAAUUCUUGCCUUCCAUGCAGGAGACCUAGGUUCGAUUCCCGGCCACA